rnacentral:rRNA from 1 species
AGUGAACGCUGGCGGUAGGCCUAACACAUGCAAGUCGAACGGCAGCACAGUAAGAGCUUGCUCUUACGGGUGGCGAGUGGCGGACGGGUGAGGAAUACAUCGGAAUCUACUUUUUCGUGGGUGAUAACGUAGGGAAACUUACGCUAAUACCGCAUACGACCUACGGGUGAAAGCAGGGGAUCUUCGGACCUUGCGCGAUUGAAUGAGCCGAUGUCGGAUUAGCUAGUUGGCGGGGUAAAGGCCCACCAAGGCGACGAUCCGUAGCUGGUCUGAGAGGAUGAUCAGCCACACUGGAACUGAGACACGGUCCAGACUCCUACGGGAGGCAGCAGUGGGGAAUAUUGGACAAUGGGCGCAAGCCUGAUCCAGCCAUGCCGCGUGUGUGAAGAAGGCCUUCGGGUUGUAAAGCCCUUUUGUUGGGAAAGAAAAGCAGCAGGUUAAUACCCCGCUGUUCUGACGGUACCCAAAGAAUAAGCACCGGCUAACUUCGUG